rnacentral:rRNA from 1 species
AAUAUGGCACAAUGGAGGGAACUCUGAUGCAGCAACGCCGCGUGAGUGAAGAAGGUUUNCGGAUCNUNAAACUCUGUCAUUGGGGNCGAAUAAAUGACGUUACCCAAUGAGGAAGCCGCGGCUAACUACGUGCCAGCAGCCGCGGUAAUACGUAGGGGGAGAGCUUUGUCCGGAAUUACUGGGCGUAAAGGGUACGUAGGCGGCUAUAUAAGUCAGGUGUGAAAUACCAGUGCUUAACACUGGAAUUGCAUUUGAAACUGUGUAGCUUGAGUGCAGGAGAGGAAAGUGGAAUUCCUAGUGUAGCGGUGAAAUGCGUAGAGAUUAGGAGGAACACCAGUGGCGAAGGCGACUUUCUGGACUGUAACUGACGCUGAAGUACGAAAGCGUGGGUAGCGAACA